GUGUCAGCCGCCGCGGUAAAACGUAGGUUCCGAGCGUUAUCCGGAUUUACUGGGCGUAAAGCGCGUGCAGGCGGCCGCGCAAGUCGGGCAUGAAAUCUCUCGGCUCAACCGGGAGAGGCUGUCCGAUACUGCGUGGCUUGAGGACGGAAGAGGCGGGUGGAAUUCCGCAUGUAGUGGUGAAAUGCGUAGAGAUGCGGAGGAACACCAGUGGCGAAAGCGGCCCGCUGGCCCGCUCCUGACGCUCAGACGCGAAAGCUCGGGGAGCGAACGGGAUUAGAAACCCCCGUAGUCC
rnacentral:rRNA from 1 species